CUGUAGUCUGAGCUCCCUGAUCAGCCGCGGGGAGGUGAGGGUAAAGAUGGGUUGGAUCAGACGAGGCAGUUCUGUCUACAGGUUCCCUGGUGGCAGGCACACGCUCCAGCCCUGAAAGAGAAUUCAGUGGGAAAUCAAUAGGUGCCCAGAGAUGUGCCUAGGCAUGGAGCUGGGAAACCUCCUCAGCCUCAAAUUAUAUACAGGGGUAUGAGGGGCAGCCUAAACUCUCAAUCCAGGAGACGAUGUGCUCCAGAUGCCUGGAGAUCUGCCUGUGUGGACAAGAGAGAGCUCCCCUGCACCAGGAUCACUGCAUAGGUAGAGUGGAGCAGCUCAGGCUGAUGUUCCAUCUGGCACUCUCAUGCUUGGAGAUCUGCCAGGGCAUGGAGCAAAGAGGGCUCCCCCAUACCAAGAUCUCUGCACAAGAAGAGUGAGAUGACUUAGGCUGCUGAACCAGAUCCAGAAUACGUUUCUAGCACUGAAGCAAGAAAAUUUAAGUGCCUGUUUUCUUUGCUUUCUGCAUUCCCUGGAGGUAGAGUGGAAUAGUUCUGCA
rnacentral:lncRNA from 1 species